rnacentral:rRNA from 1 species
UACGAAAGGUGCUAGCGUUGUCCGGAAUUACUGGGUGUAAAGGGCACGUAGGCGGCUCUGUAAGUUGGGGGUGAAAUCCCGGAGCUCAACUGCGGAACUGCCUUUGAUACUGCAGAGCUUGAGUAUGGUUGAGGUGGGUGGAAUUGGGAGUGUAGAGGUGAAAUGCAUAGAUAUCCGGAAGAACACCGAUUGCGAAGGCGGCUUGCUGGGCCAUUACUGACGCUGAGGCACGAAAGCGUGGGGAGCAAACAGG